rnacentral:rRNA from 1 species
AUUGAACGCUGGCGGAAUGCUUUACACAUGCAAGUCGAACGAUGAAGUCUAGCUUGCUAGACGGAUUAGUGGCGAACGGGUGAGUAAUAUAUCGGAACGUAUCCAAUAAUAGGGGAUAACUAGUCGAAAGAUUGGCUAAUACCGCAUACGUCCUACGGGAGAAAGAUGGGGAUCGUAAGACCUGGCGUUAAUGGAGCGGCCGAUAUCUGAUUAGCUAGUUGGUGAGGUAAAGGCUCACCAAGGCGACGAUCAGUAGCUGGUCUGAGAGGACGACCAGCCACACUUGAACUGAGGCACGGUCCAGACUCCUACGGGAGGCAGCAGUGGGGAAUUUUGGACAAUGGGCGAAAGCCUGAUUCAGCCAUUCCGCGUGAGUGAAGAAGGCCUUCGGGUUGUAAAGCUCUUUCGCAAGGGAAGAACACUUACUUAAUAACACUAAGUGAGGUUGACGGUACCUUGAUAAGAAGCACCGGCUAACUACGUGCCAGCCGCCGCCGUAACAC